rnacentral:rRNA from 1 species
AUACGGAGGAUGCGAGCGUUAUCCGGAUUUAUUGGGUUUAAAGGGAGCGUAGGCGGGAGCUUAAGUCAGCGGUUAAAUGGUGCGGUUCAACCGUGCCCUGCCGUUGAAACUGGGUUUCUUGAGAGUGCAAGAGGCGGAUGGAAUUCAUGGUGUAGCGGUGAAAUGCUUAGAUAUCAUGAAGAACUCCGAUUGCGAAGGCAGUCCGCUGGGGCACGUCUGACGCUGAUGCUCGAAGGUGCGGGAAUCAAACAGGAUUAGAUACCCUGGUAGUCCGCACGGUAAACGAUGAUUACCCGCUGUCGGCGGCAGACAGUCGGCGGCCAAGCGAAAGCGAUAAGUAAUCCACCUGGGGAGUACGCCGGCAACGGUGAAACUUAAAGGAAUUGACGGGG